AUUGAACGCUGGCGGCAGGCCUAACACAUGCAAGUCGAGCGGAGCGGCGGACGGGUGAGUAAUGCCUAGGACUCUGCCUGUGACUGGGGGAGAACGUCCGGAAACGGGCGCGAAUAUUGAAUACUCUCAGAUUCGCAUAGGUCGGAUUAGCUAGAUGGUGGGGUAAAGGCCUACCAAGGCGACGACCCGUAACUGGUCUGAGAGGAUGAUCAGUCACACUGGAACUGAGAAACGGUCCAGACUCCUACGGGAGGCAGCAGUGGGGAAUAUUGGACAAUGGGCGAAAGCCUGAUCCAGCCAUGCCGCGUGUGUGAAGAAGGUCUUCGGAUUGUAAAGCACUUUAAGUUGGGAGGCGUUACCCGCAGAAUAAGCACCGGCUAACUUCGUGCCAGCAGCCGCGGUAAUAC
rnacentral:rRNA from 1 species